rnacentral:rRNA from 1 species
AUGGAGAGGCUCGAGGACAUCUUGUCAAAGAAGGAGGCAUGCGUGAAGCGCUCAGACCUCAAGGAGGAGAAAAAUGCGGAGAGGUUCAAAUUGUUGAUGGAGGCGACAGACAAAAAGUUCAAGCUCGAAGAGAGGAGGACCAUGAUCAAAGAGAGGAAAGCCGCGCUCAAGGAAAAGAAAAUGAUCAUGCAAUCUGUCUGCUACCAGAUGUUGCAGUGGCAGAAAAAUGAGUUGAUAGCGGCGGACAAUGAGGCGGAGGUGGACGCGGACGCGGAGGAGAAUGUUGAUAGUGUGCACAAUGAUGGCGUGGAUGCAGUGAAGGAGGAUGUUGGUUCGGAGAAGAAGGGCUCCUUGAAUGAUGACAGGAAGGAGGAUGUUGAUAGUAGAAUGAAUGAGGCCGCAUUAAGUGAUGGGGAUGGAGCAAAGGACGGUGUUGAUACAGGGAAGAUUGGCCCUCCAAGUAAUAACAAUGAUGGAGAGGUUCAUGUGCAAGGGAGUGGUGCAGGAACUGCUGAAAAGGAAGGUGCUAUUGGCACUAAACAGGAGCAUCCUAAGAGUGCAGAUGAUAUGAGGGGCACUUGUAAUGUCAGACUAGAAAACAAUUCAUCAAAGGAAGAAGCUGCUACAGAGAAUAAGGAGGAGCAUACUGACGGUGUUGUUGACUCUCGAGAUGAUAUUGGUAACUUGGGAAACAAUUUAAUGGACUCAUCAAAGGUGUACUCGUGCACUCAUGACAUCUGGACAUCGCGAUAG